GUAUAACAAAGAGAUUAAAAACGUAGUGCCUGAAAAUAGGAGAGACACACAGAAUACUCAAUGUUGUCAAGAUGUCUGCUUUCCCAACCUGAUCUAGAGAUUCAGUGCAAUACCAAUCUUGGAAAAAGAAUUGUGGGAUUUGAACGUUUGAUCCAUCUGGAUUUUAUUUUGGUGUUAAGCGUGAGCCAACUUCUACUUUUCCAAAUGGCCGGCCAGUCGUCCUAACGUCGUUUGAUUGAAAAAAGACUGAAAAACCUUUUCCGGGGUUUGAAGAGACCACUCCACCAGCACGCUUCAAGCUAGCGCGUUUGCCGGGGCCCGCGCGGUCCAAGGACCCCUCGCCGCCAGGUUUCCGCGGCCCAUCUGCCCGGCCAGAUCCAGUCGGAGGAGGCGAAGGGAAGGUGGUGGAGUGGAUAUUCCGCUGCUGAGAACUAUUCCACUCCUACCAGCCGCCGACCGACCACUAACCCCCUUUUCCCACCCUUGCGCUCAGGACAAACCCCAGACACCACUACCGCGACUUCACCUCCACCCUCCGAGGACAAAGCCCCCUGACCCACGUCGAGGAAGUCUCUCUUACCUCCCAUCUCCUCCCUCUCAGCUC
ensembl:lncRNA